GGAAACCCUGAUGCAGCGACGCAGCGUGCGGGAUGACGGCCUUCGGGUUGUAAACCGCUUUCAGCAGGGAAGAAGCGCAAGUGACGGUACCUGCAGAAGAAGUACCGGCUAACUACGUGCCAGCAGCCGCGGUAAUACGUAGGGUACGAGCGUUGUCCGGAAUUAUUGGGCGUAAAGAGCUCGUAGGUGGUUGGUCACGUCUGCUGUGGAAACGCAACGCUUAACSUUGCGCGUGCAGUGGGUACGGGCUGACUAGAGUGCAGUAGGGGAGUCUGGAAUUCCUGGUGUAGCGGUGAAAUGCGCAGAUWUCAGGAGGAACACCGGUGGCGAAGGCGGGACUCUGGGCUGUAACUGACACUGAGGAGCGAAAGCAUGGGGAGCGAACAGGAUUAGAUACCCUGGUAGUCCAUGCCGUAAACGUUGGGCACUAGGUGUGGGGGGCAUUCCACGUUCUCCGCGCCGUAGCUAACGCAUUAAGUGCCCCGCCUGGGGGAGUACGG
rnacentral:rRNA from 1 species